rnacentral:rRNA from 1 species
CCGAGCGGUAGAGAUCUUUCGGGAUCUUGAGAGCGGCGUACGGGUGCGGAACACGUGUGCAACCUGCCUUUAUCUGGGGGAUAGCCUUUCGAAAGGGAGAUUAAUACCCCAUAAUAUAUUGAGUGGCAUCACUUAAUAUUGAAAACUCCGGUGGAUAGAGAUGGGCACGCGCAAGAUUAGAUAGUUGGUGAGGUAACGGCUCACCAAGUCUGCGAUCUUUAGGGGGCCUGAGAGGGUGAUCCCCCACACUGGUACUGAGACACGGACCAGACUCCUACGGGAGGCAGCAGUGAGGAAUAUUGGACAAUGGGUGCAAGCCUGAUCCAGCCAUCCCGCGUGAAGGACGACGGCCCUAUGGGUUGUAAACUUCUUUUGUAUAGGGAUAAACCUAGAUACGUGUAUCUAGCUGAAGGUACUAUACGAAUAAGCACCGGCUAACUCCGUGCCAGCAGCCGCGGUAAUACGGAGGGUGCAAGCGUUAUCCGGAUUUAUUGGGUUUAAAGGGUCCGUAGGCGGAUUUGUAAGUCAGUGGUGAAAUCUCACAGCUUAACUGUGAAACUGCCAUUGAUACUGCAAGUCUUGAGUGUUGUUGAAGUAGCUGGAAUAAGUAGUGUAGCGGUGAAAUGCAUAGAUAUUACUUAGAACACCAAUUGCGAAGGCAGGUUACUAAGCAACAACUGACGCUGAUGGACGAAAGCGUGGGGAGCGAACAGGAUUAGAUACCCUGGUAGUCCACGCCGUAAACGAUGCUAACUCGUUUUUGGGCUUUCGGGUUCAGAGACUAAGCGAAAGUGAUAAGUUAGCCACCUGGGGAGUACGAACGCAAGUUUGAAACUCAAAGGAAUUGACGGGGGCCCGCACAAGCGGUGGAUUAUGUGGUUUAAUUCGAUGAUACGCGAGGAACCUUACCAAGGCUUAAAUGGGAAAUGACAGGCUUA